rnacentral:tRNA from 1 species
UCCCACGUGGACCAGGAGGACCUGGAAAGCUACGGACUCUUCGGCCUCAUCGAGGCCGUGGAGCGGUUCGAUCCCGCCCGCGGCACC